AUGACUUUGUAAGAGCUUUGCAAAGUCAAGGUUUGUUUUGGAUGACUUGGAUUUUAUGAAAUAAAAUAGGGUUUACAUUUUGAGUGAUUUCAAGAGUUUUGUAAUAGAUCUACAAGUAAAAAUUUGUGGAUUUAUGGUUAUAGUUGGGUUUAAAAUUUAUUAUGAAUUUGACCUUGAUCUAAUGGUUGAAUUGAGGAAUAUUGAGGUUUAAGUGGGUCAAAGUCUUAGAAAGUAGAAUUUUAGGUCUAGUGAGGGUUUUUAAGAUUU
rnacentral:lncRNA from 1 species